rnacentral:rRNA from 1 species
AACGAACGCUGGCGGCAUGCCUAACACAUGCAAGUCGAACGAGACCUUCGGGUCUAGUGGCGCACGGGUGCGUAACGCGUGGGAACCUGCCCUUAGGUUCGGAAUAACUCCCCGAAAGGGGUGCUAAUACCGGAUAAUGUCUUCGGACCAAAGAUUUUUCGCCUUUGGAUGGGCCCGCGUUGGAUUAGCUAGUUGGUAGGGUAAAAGCCUACCAAGGCGACGAUCCAUAGCUGGUCUGAGAGGAUGAUCAGCCACGCUGGGACUGAGACACGGCCCAGACUCCUACGGGAGGCAGCAGUGGGGAAUAUUGGACAAUGGGCGAAAGCCUGAUCCAGCAAUGCCGCGUGAGUGAUGAAGGCCUUAGGGUUGUAAAGCUCUUUUACCCGGGAUGAUAAUGACAGUACCGGGAGAAUAAGCUCCGGCUAACUCCGUG